AAUGGCCUCCAGCUGUGUGAUGCCUUGUUAUAAAGGGUUAGGGGUGCGGAUCCUUGGAAUUCUACACAUGAUGGGUCUGAUGUGGGGCAAGAAGGGCAGGAGAAAUAAGUCAGCAGGAGCGCAGUGUCAGCUGGAACCAAGGGGCUGGCGAAGAGCUAGGAGCGUCUCCCAGAUGCCUGACCCAAUAAAGUGGUCCUUGGGCACACAGCCCAUUCAACCAGGGAAUGAUCAGCCAGCAAUAUGCAAGUGAGUGAUUGAAGGUUGAAUGAAUGACAUUGCUCCCAACAGAAUACAGGCUGGACAGGGAGAGAAGACAGUGGAUAUCAGAGACUCCAAUCAAGCAUUUACCAUCUGCCAAGCACUGCUAACAAAUUGUCCCACAUUGCCUUGUUCAUCCUCAAACACCCCACGAAAGAGGUAUUGCGACUGUACUCAUUUCACAGUGGAAGAAAUUGAGGCUGGAGAAGAUUAAGGUGCCCACAGUGACUUGCAAAUAAAAAAUGUCUUUUAUCCA